rnacentral:rRNA from 1 species
GCGGUAAUUCCAGCUCCAAUAGCGUAUAUUUUAGUUGUUGCAGUUAAAAAGCUCGUAGUCGUAUUUCUGACAGGAAAGUGCGGUCCGACUUAUGUGGGUACUUGCACUCUCCGGUCAUCAUUGGGUUGAGCCAGUUUGGCAUUAAGUUGUCGAGCUGGGGACGCCCAUCGUUUACUGUGAAAAAAUUAGAGUGUUCAAAGCAGACUUAUGUCGUUGAAUAUAUUAGCAUGGAAUAAUAAAAUAGGACAUCAGUGCUAUUUUGUUGGUUUGCGCACCGAUGUAAUGAUAAAUAGGAACAGUUGUGGGUAUUCGUAUUCACUUGUAAGAGGUGAAAUUCUUAGAUUAAGGGAAGACGAACUACUGCGAAAGCAUUUACCAAGGAUGUUUUCAUCAAUCAAGAACGAAAGU